UACGGAGGGUGCGAGCGUUGUCCGGAAUCAUUGGGCGUAAAGAGCGCGUAGGCGGCCAGAUAAGUCCGGUGUGAAAGUCACAGGCUCAACCUGUGAAUGCCGCUGGAAACUGUAUGGCUAGAGUCCGGAAGGGGCGAGUGGAAUUCCUGGUGUAGCGGUGAAAUGCGCAGAUAUCAGGAGGAACACCAAUGGCGAAGGCAGCUCGCUGGGACGGUACUGACGCUGAGGAGCGAAAGCCAGGGGAGCAAACGGG
rnacentral:rRNA from 1 species